rnacentral:pre_miRNA from 1 species
CCCUUGAGCAAUUUGUCUUUAAGUAGGUUAAAUUACUCUAGAAGAAAUGAAUCCUGGAUAGUUUUCUCUUCUAGUCAAUUGUCUUGU